rnacentral:rRNA from 1 species
CCUACGGGGGGCAGCAGUGGGGGAUAUUGCACAAUGGGGGAAACCCUGAUGCAGCGACGCCGCGUGUGGGAAGACGGUCCUCUGGAUUGUAAAGCUCUUUCGGACGUGACGAUGAUGACGGUAGCGUCUACAGAAGCACCGGCAAACUUCGUGCCAGCAGCCGCGGUAAUACGAAGGGUGCGAGCGUUGUUCGGAAUUACUGGGCGUAAAGGGAGUGUAGGCGGAUAUGUAAGAUAGCGGUGAAAUGCCGGGGCUCAACCCCGGAACUGCCAUUAUGACUAUGUAUCUAGAGUAAUGGAGAGGAUAGCGGAAUACCCAGUGUAGAGGUGAAAUUCGUAGAUAUUGGGUAGAACACCGGUGGCGAAGGCGGCUAUCUGGCCAUUUACUGACGCUGAGGCUCGAAAGCAUGGGGAUCAAACAGGAUUAGAUACCCCUGUAGUC